rnacentral:rRNA from 1 species
GACGAACGCUGGCGGCGUGCCUAAUACAUGCAAGUAGAACGCUGAAGAGAGGAGCUUGCUCUUCUUGGAUGAGUUGCGAACGGGUGAGUAACGCGUAGGUAACCUGCCUUGUAGCGGGGGAUAACUAUUGGAAACGAUAGCUAAUACCGCAUAACAAUGGAUGACACAUGUCCUUUAUUUGAAAGGGGCAAUUGCUCCACUACAAGAUGGACCUGCGUUGUAUUAGCUAGUAGGUGAGGUAAUGGCUCACCUAGGCGACGAUACAUAGCCGACCUGAGAGGGUGAUCGGCCACACUGGGACUGAGACACGGCCCAGACUCCUACGGGAGGCAGCAGUAGGGAAUCUUCGGCAAUGGGGGCAACCCUGACCGAGCAACGCCGCGUGAGUGAAGAAGGUUCUCGGAUCGUAAAGCUCGGUUGUAAGUCAAGAACGGGUGUGAGAGUGGAAAGUUCACACUGUGACGGUAGCUUACCAGAAAGGGACGGCUAACUACGUG